rnacentral:lncRNA from 10 species
UGGUUCUGCCAUGGACAAGCUGAAGUCUCUCUGAGACCAGGGGACCCGCAUGGCCCAGCCACCCCACCCCACCAUCUCCCAGGCAUGUGAGAAAAUAUCACAUUCUCUGUGUUUUGGAGAUUUCUUCUAAAUGUAUUUUCCAACUAUCAUUUCAUAGCAAAUCAGCGAGAAAAAAGGUAUAAUAUUAGGCAGAAACCCAAUAUAAAAAGAAAAGCAGAGUUGUUGUAGAUUCAUCGAGGGUUGGCGACCUGGUUCCAAUGAGCCAUCUCCCUGUUCCGACAGGGGCUUCCUGGAGCUCCUGCAACCCCAGGCAUUAGUUCCGGUGCAGUUCUAGGAUCAGAUCAAUUCACUCGACAACAAGAGAAACAAAUGGAGAUUCCUACACAAAGACUUUCAAGCACAAAGAAAUCCUGCUGCCUGUAAAGCGGAGCUGCCUCAGCCCUUGAUGAACGACAGAAAAUACCACCUACUGCCAGACCUCAACGCCUCACAAAACUCUCACCCACCUACUGCUUUUAGCUCACAUUCCAGGAAUUCAGAUGAAGUGAAGUGCUCUCAUGGGGACCAGGCAUGGUUAUGCCAGUCCACUGCCCUGCAAGCCUCAAGGGAAGCCAACUGCCCUUCAGCAAGUCACACCUGCCUUGGUGG